rnacentral:rRNA from 1 species
UACAGAGGUCUCAAGCGUUGUUCGGAUUCAUUGGGCGUAAAGGGUGCGUAGGCGGCGCGGUAAGUCGGAUGUGAAAUCUCGGAGCUUAACUCCGAAACUGCAUUCGAUACUGCCGUGCUUGAGGACUGGAGAGGAGACUGGAAUUCAUGGUGUAGCAGUGAAAUGCGUAGAGAUCAUGAGGAAGACCAGUGGCGAAGGCGGGUCUCUGGACAGUUCCUGACGCUGAGGCACGAAGGUCAGGGGAGCAAACGGG